UUACGGCCAUAUCACGUUGAAACACAGUUUACCAUACCAUCACUGAAGUUAAGCAACGUCGAGCCUAGUCAGUACCUAUACGGGUGGUCGCUUGGGAAUACCGGGUGGUGUAA